UUCUGCUUCAAGCCGAAUCGCUGAUAGCAGCGUACGGGGGAUUUUCAGUAUGAAGGUGCGGGAAUGAUGCAAUUGCCCGAUCGCCUUCUAGGGGUGAAUCCAAAUUUGGACAGGCGUACUCGAUCGCCUGAACCCGACAGCUAACCUCGGAGGCAAUUCUCGAGAGGGAGU
rnacentral:sRNA from 2 species